ensembl:rRNA 5S_rRNA 5S ribosomal RNA
GUCUACGGCCAUGCUACCCUGACUGAACAAGCCCGAUCCUGUCUGAUCUUGGAAGCUAAGCAGGGUCAGGCUUGGUUAGUACUUGGAUGAGAGACCGUUAGGAAGACUGGGUGCUGUAGGUG